GUCCGGUCUGACUUGAAGACACCCUGCCCUAGGUACCAGCUGGAGAUGUUCUGUCACUUCCAGGACGUUGAAGACCUGAAUCCAGCAUACUCACCGUUUGUAUUUGGAGGAACACGUGGCUGGAACGGAUUCUGGAAUCAUCCUUUGAUACCUAAAAUGGGUGUGCAAGUUGACAGUGGACAAGAAGGCGUCUGGGAUUGAUGGAUCAGAUGAUGGGUCUGUGAAGACAAUGAAGCC
rnacentral:lncRNA from 1 species